CGAAGGGUGACAGUAUCGCAGAACCAGCAGAUGCAUUCAAAACCAGUGUGAAUCUUGUCGCUCGUGUGGCCAACAGCAGAAUUUUACGUCUUUUUCAUGGCAGAUUGAAGGAUUUGUUGAGAAGUACAAGAAAAUGAAAGACAGGGCAGCCCUUUUGAAAGGCAGUUUACAUAAGUCCCCGUACAUUAAUACCAACAACUAAAAAUGUUGACAGUGAAUAGUGAACCUUUACUGCUGCAGGAUGGUGCACCACCUAGCCGCAUGAGCUUUCCUGGAUGACAAUUUUCCGGGGCAUUGUAUUGGAUGAAGAGGCCCAUGAAGUUCCCUCCACGGUCAUCAGAUCUAACAUCUAUGGACUUUUACUUGUGGGGAAGUGUGAAAGAUAACGUCUAUCAAAGGAAGCCACACAUGCUGAAGAAAGUGAUGACCUUUGAAAGAUGGUGGUGUGUUUUAACAGAUGAACUUGAUCUCUGCAUUCAGAGAUCUGUGGAGAACAAGUCCUUUGAAGCUGAAAACUCACCUUAGAACAUAUAGGCCGCCCGCUGUGGCCGAGCGGUUCUAGGCGCUUCAGUCCGGAACCACGCAGCUGCUAUGGUCGCAGGUUCGAAUCCUGCCUCAGGCGUGGAUGUGUGUGAUGUCCUUAGGUUAGUUAGGCUUAAGUAGUUCUAAGUCUAGGGGUCUGAUGACCUCAGAUGUCAAGUUCCAUAAUGCUUAGAGCCAUUUGAACCAUUUUUGAACAUGCAGUUAGCAAUUCAUUGUGAAGUAAAUUUGCAGAUUUGUUCCACAAACUUGAACCAUUUAGUUACGUAAAAGGCUUCAGUAAGGUCACAAAAUAUACCAGCAGGAUUAUUUUGGUUGUUUUUAGUUCUGCUAGGUUUUCAGUCAUAAGGGUAUAUGGUGGCUCCUACAUGUGAAACUCAAAAGUAUUUAGCAAAUUUUGUUUGAGUUAAGGACUGAUUAUGAAUACGGCUCAAGGUUAAUUGUAUCAACCUUUCACAAGAUUUUACUAAUCUGCUAGAAACACUGUCAUGGAAAAAUAUUGCUGCUUUUAGCAACUUGAUGGUAUUUUUAAUUCCCUUUGGUCUUGCAUAUUUGAUAUUAACGAUGUUUGGUGAUGUAAAAAGUAUUGAAUUAUCAAUUUCAUGGCUGAAAUGCCACAAUUAUUAAAAUAUUUCUGGCUAUUAUUCUGUGGUUUUUCCUGAUUGCUUUGAUGACUUGUGGCAUAUAAGUUCUUGUAUUCCAUUUGGAACUAAUUAAAGAAUGGAAACUCCAGGUAGGAAUAUCAACAAUUCAGAAAAAGGUAGAUUGCUACUCACUGUAAAGGAGACACGUUAAGUUGCAGACAGGCAUAAUUAAUAUGCAAGUUAAUGUUUCUUCUUUAUGGUAAGUAGCAAUUUGUUUUUUUCUGCAGCAUUAAUUGUUUGUAGAAUGCAAAGGUUACAAUAUUUACACUGUAA